AAAGAAAUCAUACUUGAAAUCUGUGUUAUUUUUUUUUCUCAAUUACAAUUCUGCGGGGCAAAACGGUAUCAAGCAGCAAAAUUCAACGACGCCAAUACAAAAUAUACGGCAACUUGUCAACAGUAUUGGAAGAAAUUAUACCUGAAAUCAGUGUUAUUUUUACCGUAACUGCAGUACCUAUACCAGAUAUAUUUAACUACGAGUAUGACGAAAAUGGAAACAAAUUCAAAUGGGGGUUACCCACAAACUAAAACAAAUUCUAUUACGGAAAUAACGAAAUCAAAGCGACGGAAAAUAAUAAUGACGAAGAAACUAUGGCAAAAAUUAAUGGUGGCGGCGAAAGAAAUGAACAAUUAAAAUCGGUAGAAAAUAUUGGUUACGAAUCCCGUAAAGUAUGAUCCGCAGCAACCGUUACUACACCGCUUCAAACAGUCGGAAAACGAAGAUUUGCAAAUGGGAAAAUUACAGUAGAAAAAAUAAAUUGACGGAAAUUAUGACAAAAAUCACAGCAGUAUUAAAAAAAAAAUCAUCACCGUCUCGAACAAAAAAACAGUGACAAAUAUUGACGGAAUUUACAAAGUAUGUUCGCCUACGAAAAUAACGGAAAUUGUUGCGCAUAUUCGAGAAGUUUGCUUUCAAAAAGACAUUUGGAAAAAAACCCAGUUGUUUUAAUGAAUAUGAGGGGUUUUUUUCGUCAUCUAAAACCAUGUGAUUUUCUUUAAUGUUCGUUUACAGUGCGAGUUAUUAUGCGGUUUCCAAGGCAACCUGCCACGAUCAGCGCAGCACAUUUUUGUGCAUUGUAACAAAAUGAUCGUGUCUGUGUGGUUUUUUUAAAAGUAAAUAAUGAAAACAUUGAAGUAAGGAUUUUGGGUGGAAUCGCUAUAGUUUCCCUUGUGUUAUUAACCGUGACAGGUAACAAGUUAGCUUAAACGUAUGUAUUGGAUGCAUUUGGAAUGUUUCACUUAAGUAACAACGGGCUAGGCCCAGUAUUUUCGUUCCCCUGUUAACUUAGGAAAGAUUUGCAGCUUUCAUCAAAGAAACGGAGGAUCUAAAAGUUGAGAUUGGACAAGGAGUGCAUGCUUUGUUAGGACGAAAUGGACCCCAACAGCCUCAUCACACAUAACCUAGGAACCGGAAGCAGGGAGGAGGACCGACAGAUGAACGGAUGACCUGCUUGCUGGGCUACCCAUUACUGAUUCUUGAGGCAUUGAACUGGCUGGAUGAAGAGGCUGCUUCCAGUCGGUGAGGGUGAGAGGAUGUAACUCCAAUUUGCAACCAUCGCAUGCAGACAAAACCUAGGAACCGGAAGCAGGGAGGAGGACCGACAGAUGAAUGGAUGACCCUGCUUGCUAGGCUUCCCAUUACUGAUUCCCGAGAUCCUCCAAGCUUUCAUCAGCGCAGCGCUCAGCAUAUACAGAGAUGGCUAGCUACCUUCCCACUCAUCCCCUCAAGAAGAACAUUAUAAUAAGAAUGGUGUAUAAUUUCAAAGUGGAGUGUAGACUUGCUUUUGCACUGGACAAUGUUCCGAAAUGCGAUUGAAAAAUUUGUCUUUCAAACUUAAGUGUCAGAAUAUUGAAUAAAAAAUGGGACAGCAUAUUUUGAAAAGCUAUUAAUAUUUUUCACAAAAUAGAAGAAGCCUACUUUUUAGACAUUGAAUUAUCUAUGCCUCUAAAAUAUCUUAAAUCUAAUAUAAAAACUGCAACAGACAAUUAUUAACUUUAUAGUUAACAAUAAAACGUGACUUUCUUUCCAAUUUUAAACUAAAUAUAAUUUUUUUACUUUAAAUAGAAUUUUCACUUUAAAUUUAAGGAAUCGCUGGGAAUUGUUAAGUAACUUCUGUUCACCUAAGUGUUGGAAAAUAUUUUAGGAAGGUAAAAGACCCCCCCCCCCCAUUAUAUUUCACCAGUCUUAGUGAGGCACUUAAAGUCUUGUAUCAAAAUAAAAUUGAAAUGGUUCUUUUUUUCCAUGGAGAAAUUUCUUUAAUGCAUAGCAACAGGUGACAGGCACUCAAAAUAUAUUUGCGUUUAUGCUUUUGUUAUAUAUUUUAUUGCACAAUUUUACUUAUAAUUAACGUUCUUUGUUCACUUUCUGUUUGUUGGUGGUUUGCAUGUCUUUUCAUUUUAUUUACCGUUUAAUUAACCCAACCAAAGGAUAAACGCAAUGUGUACCGAGUGCUGAACUUGCCUUAUAUCAAAAAUUGUAUUUACAUAAUAGCUACAUCAAUAACAGAUAAUGAGUGCUUACAAUACUUUAAAUCAAUCAUCCAUCUAGUUGAUUUUUUUUGGGGGGGGUGCUGUCCCCUGAUUCCUAUUUAAUUUAUUAAGUCGCAAAAAGUGAAAUUCAAAGAAACCAGCUUUACCCUUAUUGCUAUGUUAUGUCUUGCACCUCAAGCCUAUAAUGUUCUUACUUUUUAAAGGUAUAUAAGCUAAAGUUCAAAAUGUCCAAAUGGAAUUGCUUCAAAACAAAUUAAAAUGUUUAUUAUUAUAAGAUGUUGCUAUUGAGUAUUAGCUUCUACUGACCUGUCUUAUUCCUGACUUUGUUAGUCAACUGAGCUGAGGGCAUUGACCAAUCAGCGGCGGUUGCUCUUUAAAUCCCACCAAUCCAAUCACUUUGACUGCCACAGAUCAGCAUUGGGUGGCCCUGUCAUUCCCCUUAUAUACUCGGUCAUGAUUGAGAUGGAGUUGUCGACAGAGCAAGUGGAAUCAUGUUGCACUGGGAGAAUUUAGUUAACAGGUGUAUUGUUAAUUUAUUGUAUUUUGGAAAUCGUGAAUUAUUAACAUAUGUCCUGAUCUAGAAUCCAUUGUCAGUAUUGUUUUGUAAGGAAUGGGUAAAAACGUCUGUAUGUCAAUAGGUUGUAAAGAAUAACAAAGAAAUAAACUAAAAGAAAUGACA
rnacentral:lncRNA from 1 species